UACAGAGGGUGCGAGCGUUGUCCGGAAUCACUGGGCGUAAAGGGCGCGUAGGUGGCGCGGGCAGUCGAUGGUGAAAGCUCGGGGCUCAACCCCGAGUCGGCCGUCGAUACUCCCGGGCUUGAGCACUGUAGAGGCAGAUGGAAUUCCGGGUGUAGCGGUGGAAUGCGUAGAGAUCCGGAAGAACACCGGUGGCGAAGGCGGUCUGCUGGGCAGUAGCUGACACUGAGGCGCGACAGCGUGGGGAGCAAAC
rnacentral:rRNA from 1 species